rnacentral:tRNA from 1 species
AGUGUCAAGGGAUGGGAAUCGAACCCACGACCUUCCGCUUACCGUGCAGAUGCCAUGACCACUAGGCCACAUGACC